rnacentral:rRNA from 1 species
CCUACGGGUGGCAGCAGUGGGGAAUAUUGGACAAUGGGGGCAACCCUGAUCCAGCCAUGCCGCGUGUGUGAAGAAGGCCCUCGGGUUGGAAAGCACUUUCAGUGAGGAAGAACGCCUGGUGGUUAAUACCCAUCAGGAAAGACAUCACUCACAGAAGAAGCACCGGCUAACUCCGUGCCAGCAGCCGCGGUAAUACGGAGGGUGCGAGCGUUAAUCGGAAUUACUGGGCGUAAAGCGCGCGUAGGUGGCUUGAUAAGCCGGUUGUAAAAGCCCCGGGCUCAACCUGGGAACGGCAUCCGGAACUGUCAAGCUAGAGUGCAGGAGAGGAAGGUAGAAUUCCCGGUGUAGCGGUGAAAUGCGUAGAGAUCGGGAGGAAUACCAGUGGCGAAGGCGGCCUUCUGGACUGACACUGACACUGAGGUGCGAAAGCGUGGGUAGCAAACAGGAUUAGAUACCCGUGUAGUC